rnacentral:lncRNA from 1 species
CAGGCCUCCCUGUGCUCCGGGCUGCAGGGGCCACUUACAGGUUUGAGGAGGAGAACCAGCGACUCUUGGAGCUGAACCAGAGGUGCCAGUUUGCUUCCUAUGCCACGAUGCAGUGGUUGGACAUUCGGCUGCAGCUCAUGGGGGCAGCGGUGGUCAGCGCCAUUGCGGGCAUUGCCCUGGUGCAGCACCAGCAGGGCCUUGCCAACCCAGGUGCCACCCUGGGACCCCAUCACCCUUACUUUAGGAGCAAGACAUUCCAUGUCAUUGUUCCAGACCCCCUCCAGUGU